UACGUAGGGUGCGAGCGUUGUCCGGAAUUAUUGGGCGUAAAGAGCUCGUAGGCGGUCUGUCGCGUCGGAUGUGAAAACUCGGGGCUCAACCCCGAGCCUGCAUUCGAUACGGGCAGACUAGAGUUCGGUAGGGGAGACUGGAAUUCCUGGUGUAGCGGUGAAAUGCGCAGAUAUCAGGAAGAACACCCGUGGCGAAGGCGGCUCUCUGGGACGGUACUGACGCUGAGACGCGAAAGCGUGGGGAGCGAACAGG
rnacentral:rRNA from 1 species